GGCAACGUGUCCGAGCGGUUAAGGAGACAGAUUCGAAUACAUCUCUCUAGAGAGUGUUCGAACCUAUCUGUUGGGC